rnacentral:rRNA from 1 species
GACGUAGGAGGCGAGCGUUGUCCGGAUUCAUUGGGCGUAAAGAGCGCGCAGGCGGCUUGGUAAGUCGGAUGUGAAAUCCCGAGGCUCAACCUCGGGUCUGCAUCCGAUACUGCCCGGCUAGAGGUAGGUAGGGGAGAUCGGAAUUCCUGGUGUGGCGGUGAAAUGCGCAGAUAUCAGGAGGAACACCGAUGGCGAAGGCAGUGAUCUGGGCCAGUACUGACGCUGAGGAGCGAAAGCGUGGGUAGCAAACAGG